rnacentral:tRNA from 1 species
GCACUCCUACCUCAAUUGGUUAGAGGACCCGGUUGAUAACCGGGCUGUUCGUGGUUCGAUUCCACGGGAGUGCACCA